GGACCCGCACAAGUAGUGGAGCAUGUGGUUUAAUUCGAAGAUACGCGCAGAACCUUACCAACACUUGACAUGUUUGUCGCGACUUUAAGAGAUUAAAGUCUUCGGUUCGGCCGGACAAAACACAGGUGCUGCAUGGCUGUCGUCAGCUCGUGUCGUGAGAUGUUGGGUUAAGUCCCGCAACGAGCGCAACCCUCACUUUUAGUUGCCACCAUUUAGUUGGGCACUCUGAAAGAACUGCCAGUGAUAAGCUGGAGGAAGGUGGGGAUGACGUCAAGUCCUCAUGGCCCUUACGUGUUGGGCUACACACGUGCUACAAUGGCAUUUACAAUAGGAAGCAAGACGGCGACGUCAAGCAAAUCCUAAAAAGAUGCCUCAGUUCGGAUUGUACUCUGCAACUCGAGUACAUGAAGCUGGAAUUACUAG
rnacentral:rRNA from 1 species